GGGGGAGGGACAGAGAGAAAGGGAGAGAGAAUCCCAAAGAGGCUCCAUGCUGUUGGUGCAGAGCCUGACAUGGGGCUCGAACUCUCAAACUGUGAGAUCAUGACCUGAGCAGAAAUCAGGAGUUGGAUGGAUGAUGAACUGGCUGAGCCACCCAGGUGCCCCUUUAUUCCUUUUAAAGAAAAGAAUCCCUUGUACUCUAGACCUGUUUCUCUCCCCUUACUUUUCUGUUACAACUUCCUUGUCUUUAGUCCCUUCUCUAUGAGACCAGAUAUUCCUGGUUAUGAUUUGAGAUGUUCUAAGCAAGUUGCUAUUGUAAUUCAACAGAGGACUCAUGGAAACAGUACAGAUUGGAUCGAAAGCAGCAAAAAACCCGAUGAUGGUGUUUCAGGCAAGGAAAGUGGAUAAGCAACUGAGGGAAUGUAAAAGUUGCUAAAGGCAGCAUUUCGAGACAACGGAGAUGCUCACACCUUGGACCUGUGUGUCUAGGUUCAGGGACAGAAGUUUAUCGAAUGUGUCUUUAGCUCAGCAACAUAGAACAAGGGCUGAUUUCUACCGUUUACCCCUCACUGGACUUCACUUGAACUUACAGCGCUCCCCAGUGAUGCUACAGAUAUUAAACUUAUGGUUCCUGCUUCCUUCCUCUGAUUUCUUUUAUCUCCACACAAUACUUAAUUUUUAUGGGGAUUGGCCAUCUUAGUGGCUUAUGAAAUGAGAGAUGGCUUUGGCCAGAAGGUAUAAACAAGGCUUACUGUUUGAAGCUUCGCUAUUUGUAUUUGAGUUAUUUUCCUGGUCACAGACACAGACUUGCAGUGAUUCGUCAUUCAUUCAUUGCCCUGAGCCCCCAGCCCCUCGAAGGAAUGUAAUCCAAAUUUCCUCAAGCUGCUGACUUUCCACAGAUAGGGGGACUCAAGUGCCCCUGCUCAGGCCACUAGCUGUGUAAUGAAUGACUUCCGUUUUUGCUCAGACUUCCACCAAGCUAUUGCUAGGAGCCUCUGGGGCUGCCAUAUGAGAUCAUGAGCGCUGUUUCCACUUUGGACUGUCUUGUCAGCACCUGGGAUUUGAGGGCAGACCUCAUUGCUUCCAUUAUACAGCGUCCGAUGCACCCCAGAUCGUAAACCCUGUGGCGCCUGUGGCCCCUGGCCCAUCUGCAUUUCUUUCUGCACCUAAACCUAAACCACCCACGAUCUACACAGAGGUGAAGCUAUGCGUGAUGUGAUGGCACAGGCCCUUCUCCCCCGCAGGGGUCUCUGAGCCUCCCAGGGUCCCUCCUGCAUACGGCAUCUUGACUCUUAUCUGUAGCCUUCUCCCGAUGCCUCAGAUAUGAGCCCACAGGGUUGGCUGUGGUCAGUAUCAGACGUGGACUCUCCAGCAGUCUAUACGACAUGCCCAGACCACCGUGAAUCCCGUGAGUGGGUGCAAAUUAGUGCGAAAUUUGGACCCCAGCCUCUCAUGUAAUUUUCAGAUGAUUUUCAGACAGAUCCAGCUCAAGGCUUAAAGUGAAGUGAUGUUUACAUUCAGUGGAAUGCACUGCUUUUGGCUCUCUAUCCUGGCUACCAGAAGGGCUGUCCCUGACCCAAAGCGUCUGUGCCUCUGGGAGCUUGUUAGAAAUGCCCAGUCUCAGGCUCCAGCCCAGACCUACUAAAUGCAAACUUGCCUUUUAACCAGAUCCCCAGGUGAUUUACAUGCACACUGAAGUCUGAGAAGCACUGCUGUAUAUCAUAACUGACAGAUCAGACCGUACUUAGGAAAUGGUGCUAAAGUGAUUUUCCAGAUCUGGGGAGCCCCUCAGCAUAGAACAUUGCAAGUAAAUCCAGUGAUUGCUUGCUAUUAAAUACCUAUAGAGCAUUUUUUCUGUCUUUACGUACUCUUUCAUUUGAAUUCAGAUUUUAUUUUGGGAUUUUUGAUAUUCAUGUUAGUCAAUAAUGGAGGUUGAUAUUGUGUAUUAACUUGAAUUCUCCCUCCCUUCCAUUCUUCUUGGGUUAAGAACUCUGAUAAUAGAAGGGAACUAUAGACCUGACAUUCAAGGAAAAUCCAGAAAAUGAAUUCUUUUUUAUCUUCAGGCAGAGCAGCUCCAAUGAAUAGAGAAGUGUAAUAAAGCCUUUUUAUAUGCCUGUCA
rnacentral:lncRNA from 1 species